rnacentral:lncRNA from 1 species
CUAGAAGCAAUGCCCUUCCCUCGGUCCCUGGCCUCACCCGGCGUGGAAGGCUCUGAAAAACAUCGAGAAAAGAGGGCGUGAGAACUAUAAUUUAUAGUUCCCAGUGGGCAAUUACUGACCUCAGCUCAUCGCACCACUAGGCCCCAAAAGAAAAGGGGUAAGUAUAAUAAGCAACAAUAAGAAUAAUAGUAACAACUAUAGAAAGCAUAAUAGACGUGCUAAUCCAUAUGUCUCAAGUAAGCAUGAUGCCAUGGUGAUGUACAUCUACGCUAUCAAAUGGUGAUAUGUCCAAUGCAUACUAAUACGGUUCAACGCAAUAAACAAGUAAACCUCACGAUGCAAUGUGCAAUGCAUAAGGGUAAACACUAUCCAAACAUCCGAGUACACUACUAUGCAAUAAUGAAACCGGCAAGUAUACUAAAUGUAUCAAUGCCAUAUCAUGAGCAUGUCCAAGUAAUCCAACUACCGAUCCUAUCGAGCAGUGAUUGACCAUAUACCACACCGUGUCGAUUUCCAUUUCCAAUUAGGGACCUACCCAAGGUAGUCCAGCUUGUGCCGCCUAAGUGCCUGUGGUAGCCCGACAUUCCUAUACAUGGAAUGUGUCUGUCCCACUCGACCCCGUAGGCUUCUCGAUACCGCACGAGCGAACAUAAGUCGCGUAGGCUAACUCCGGAGUGCCGGCUUGUAGGGAGCGACCCUCACAAGCAUGUGCGAAUGAGCACAAAUGGCAAGCAAGCAUAGUCCAAGUCUCAAGUAACCAAUCCUCAUGUCUCUAACAUGGUAUAGCCACUAGCAUCCCGAAGAUCUAGUUUAAGUCACAAUGUGAAUUUUCAACUUUUGCUACGCCUAGUGCCCCUUGAUGACACUUAGGCAAUCUGGUGUCCAACAUGUAUCCCAAGUCCCUCGAUGGCCCUAUCCACUAGGUUCACACAUGUCCCGAGCUCAAUGCCGCUUGAUGACAUUAGCUCUCUAAUUCACAUACCUUCUAAAUGACAAUCUUGUCAACUUUCAUGUCCCAAUAAACUUAGGUUUAAAUGCAUGAAUCCGAACUCAUUUAUACUAUAGAAGCAUGAAACCAAGUCUCAUGAAGAAUGCUAAAUGCAACCAAAGAUCUCCCAAGCAACUCUCUACUACAUAGAGGUCCAAAAUUUCACUACAUAUAACAUAUGCAUUUUAAGCAUUCUAAAAAUCACAAUAAAUACAUGUAACAAGAAUAUGCAUGCUUUUUCAUUUAACGAUACAUAAUUAAGCACAAAUGAGAAUUUCUCAUUGUGUGGCUAGGUCAAACCCACCGAACCGUCGCGUAGGGUCUCGAUUCGCCGAAUAAAGUUGUCCCCGAGUCUCAAAAUACCCUAAAAGUGAUCAGCGAAGAGAUACGAGGGCAUUACGACCAUCUUAUAAAACCAAUUAUUAACCUAGAAGCAAAAAGGGCCAAAACUCACCUUAAGAGAAGAAAUCUCUUCCAAAGCUCCAAAAGAGAGCUAGAACCCUUCCAAACCAAGCCCAAGGAAGGUUCUAAACCAAUCAAUCUAGCUCCAAAAGCCCUAGGUUCAAAAUGCCCAAAAUAAGCCCUAAGUAUCAAUUCUAGGGUUUCAUCUCAAAAACUUAGCAAAACAAGAUCUAGAGGAGGAAAAUGAGCAACCAACCUCCUUAGAAGCUCCAAUCCUAGCUCCAAGGGUGAAGAUCUCCUCCUAUGCAAGCUCCAAGACCAAGCCUUCAAGCACCAAGGGAGAUGAGAGGGUGAGGAAGAUGCUCCAUGCCCACUAGUAGCUCCAAACUCCUCCUUCCCUCCUUCCUCUCCUUCUCCUUCUUCUUCUUCUUCUCUAACAAGGGUGUAGAGAGGGUUGAGAGAAGAGAAAUGGGGAGAAGAGAGAGUGGAGGGGUCAUAUAGACCCUCUAUUGUAACAAAAUCCCAAGAGGCCCCUCAAAAAUCCAAUAAUACAUCAGCCCGGUCUGGGCAGUUUUCGCCCAAAGGGACCGGUCUCUCCCCAGCAGGGACCGGUCUCUCGCUGCGAACCCGAAAAACCAACGUUCGGGAACCGGUCUCUCCCUGCGCAGGACCGGUCUCUCAUUGCGAAAACGCGCUCGGGGACCGGUCUCACCCACCAGGGACCGGUUGCCUCAGGGCUGCCGCAACACUGCUCAUUGGGGGACCGGUCUCUCCUUCCAGGGACCGGUUCCCGAGAGUGAAAACUCUCAGGACCAAACCAAAACUCAGGUUUUCGAACUUUUUAGGUCGGAAAACAUUCUACGACCCUCCACCAAGUGUGGAAAAGCUCGAAACACAUCCAAACACUCGAACCUCGCAAUUUGCAAAGGUUCAGUGUGUUACAAGUGCACUCCGGAGUGUGUCAUUAACUGGGUUGAUCGUAUAAGCCUUCCCAGUAGACGAUCCCGUCGGGAGGCAGCUUAGGGCCCGAUACUUAGGGAUUGCGUUGGUGAGUUAUAGUUAACCAAAUGGUUAACCAGAUGGAUUGGGUAUUGAUUAUUUAUAGCAUGCAUGCAUAAAUUUUAUAUGUUAUCUACUUUUUGUUUCAGCUUUGUACAGGCAUUGUAGUAGUUGCAUAUUAUAGCUGGUUACUAUCUACUCUCUUUUCUUGUCUACAUAUGCCUGAAUAGACCUAGUGGGUGAGUCGGCGAGGUCGGUGGCCGAACCCACUGGGAGCUUUCAGUAGUUCUCACCCCACUAACCAUGCAGGUUUUAGCUCGUGCUGGGUGGUUUCAUCAACAAGCAUGUUUUUAUAUUGACUACAUGCAUCUAUCUAGCAUUUAUAUGCAUCAAUACGAAAUCAUGUUCUCUUAAACAUAAGGGCGACCUAGUCGCUUCGGUAAGCACAACCCACCUGCUAUUGCAUUCCGAUUGCUUGUCGACACUUGCAAUCGGCCUCCCGCGGCAUCCGGUGCUCGGUUCCGCCGGAACUUGCAGUUGCGCACCAACCGCGCAUCGCUUUGCAGCCUCGGGCAAAAAGGGUCUUCGUUUUGCUGUUACGGUGCUUCAAAUCCGUUUCCAGGAUUUUACGACGUCGCCUCGGCACUCCAGGCGGAAACGAAGCCUAAACGCCCGUUUCUUUAAUAACUUCGCAACGGCUCGACGAAUCGCCGAACUGUCUUCGCCAACGCGUUCGUUUACCUAUCAAUUAGGUUUACGGAGGGUCAAAUGAGAUCAAACCCUACUAGUAGCAAAAUUUGCAUUUUGAACCCUAGGUUUCAUCCUAUGCAAGAACUCAUCAAAUUGAUCCUAGAUUCUAGCAUUUAUCCUCUAUUUAGCAUGCUAGGAUUCCAUAAAACCCAUUUCUAGAGCAUAUAAUUGAAGCUCUACAAUUCUACCAUUAAAGGGCAUCGAAGCUUACCUCUCAAAUUAGCUCCAAAUCAUGGAGAAGAUGAAGAAGAUGAAGGCGAUUCAUCUCCAAGCUUCCAUCUCCACCAAUCCAUUCAUUUUUGGGAGAAAUCUAGAGAGAGAAUGGGAGGCUUUUCCUUUCCUUUCC